UGGGCAAUCUGCCCUUCACUCUGGGACAAGCCCUGGAAACGGGGUCUAAUACCGGAUAACACUCUGUCCCGCAUGGGACGGGGUUAAAAGCUCCGGCGGUGAAGGAUGAGCCCGCGGCCUAUCAGCUAGUUGGUGGGGUGAUGGCUUACCAAGGCGACGACGGGUAGCCGGCCUGAGAGGGCGACCGGCCACACUGGGACUGAGACACGGCCCAGACUCCUACGGGAGGCAG
rnacentral:rRNA from 1 species